rnacentral:rRNA from 1 species
GACGAACGCUGGCGGCGUGCUUAACACAUGCAAGUCGAACGGAAAGGCCCUGCUUUUGUGGGGUGCUCGAGUGGCGAACGGGUGAGUAACACGUGAGUAACCUGCCCUUGACUUUGGGAUAACUUCAGGAAACUGGGGCUAAUACCGGAUAGGGGCUCCUGCUGCAUGGUGGGGGUUGGAAAGUUUCGGCGGUUGGGGAUGGACUCGCGGCUUAUCAGCUUGUUGGUGGGGUAGUGGCUUACCAAGGCUUUGACGGGUAGCCGGCCUGAGAGGGGGACCGGGCACAUGACUCCUACGGGACGGAGCAGUCGCCAACGGUAGGCAACGGGGGGAAGUAUGACACAGUAAGGGGAAGCCAGAUACAACGGCGUCGCGUGCGGGAUGACCGCCUUCGGGUUAAAAACCACUUUCGCCUUAGACGAAGCGUGAGUGACGGUAAUGGGUAAAGAAGCACCGGCUAACUACGUG